AACGAACGCUGGCGGCAGGCUUAGCACAUGCAAGUCGAACGGAUCCUUCGGGAUUAGUGGCAGACGGGUGAGUAACGCGUGGGAACGUACCCUUUGCUACGGAAUAACUCAGGGAAACUUGAGCUAAUACCGUAUGUGCCAUACGGGGGAAAGAUUUAUCGGCAAAGGAUCGGCCCGCGUUGGAUUAGCUAGUUGGUGGGGUAAUGGCCUACCAAGGCGACGAUCCAUAGCUGGUCUGAGAGGAUGAUCAGCCACACUGGGACUGAGACACGGCCCAGACUCCUACGGGAGGCAGCAGUGGGGAAUAUUGGACAAUGGGCGCAAGCCUGAUCCAGCCAUGCCGCGUGAGUGAUGAAGGUCUUAGGAUUGUAAAGCUCUUUCACCGGUGAAGAUAAUGACGGUAGCCGGAGAAGAAGCCCCGGCUAACUUCGUG
rnacentral:rRNA from 1 species